ensembl:lncRNA
AUGGCUGGAGGAUCACAAAAAAAGACCUGCCCAAACUACGGGGAAAAAAUAUACUGCGGACUUAAAAUUUGUUCGUUUUGCAAACAUCCACAACCCCAACACGUCAGACUUCAGAAAAAGAUGGAAAAAUGUAAAAGUCAGCAGAAGCCGUGGUUGGCAUCCAUGAAAAAAAAUAAAAUAAAGUCCCACGUUCUUGAUGAUGCUGCCAUUCUGCUUGAGAAGUUGUAUGCCCUUGGCAUGAAGCCCCUGCUGCUGAUUGCACAUCCUCCUAAGAUGGUGACAGGGACACACACGUACCAGACUAAAAUAAUGCUGCCAGUGCAUGCCCAACUUAGCACAUCCGCUAAGACAUGCUUAGAGAAUGUGAAUGCCAUCUACAAAUUGUUGGUUGAAGGUUGGACAAGACUCAACCCAGACCAACUGCCUCAAGAAGACGAGGAGAAAUUCAUUCUAAAUUUGGUGCCGUGUGGUUCACCCAUCCAAGAACCAGCACACCAGGCUCUUUCCAGCCACACACCACCACACACAGUUCCACCCAUCCAGGAACCAGCACACCAGGCUCCACCCAUCCAAGAACCAGCACACCAGGCUCCACCCAUCCAGAAACCAAGCACACCAGGCUCCACCCAUCCAAGAACCAGCACACCAGGCUCCACCCAUCCAGAAACCAAGCACACCAGGCUCCACCCAUCCAAGAACCAGCACACCAGGCUCCACCCAUCCAGAAACCAAGCACACCAGGCUCCACCCAUCCAAGAACCAGCACACCAGGCUCCACCCAUCCAGAAACCAAGCACACCAGGCUCCACCCAUCCAAGAACCAGCACACCAGGCUCCACCCAUCCAGAAACCAAGCACACCAGGCUCCACCCAUCCAAGAACCAGCACACCAGGCUCCACCCAUCCAGAAACCAAGCACACCAGGCUCCACCCAUCCAAGAACCAGCACACCAGGCUCCACCCAUCCAGAAACCAAGCACACCAGGCUCCACCCAUCCAAGAACCAGCACACCAGGCUCCACCCAUCCAGGAACCAUCACACCAGGCUCCACCCAUCCAAGAACCAGCACACCUGGCUCUUUCCAGCCACACACCACCACACACAGCUCUACCCAUCCAGGAACCAGCACACCAGGUCUCAGCUGUGCAGCCACCACUGCGGGGUCCACAGCAACGUAA